UACGUAGGUGGCAAGCGUUACUCGGAAUCACUAGGCGUAAAGCGCAGGUAGGCGGUCGGAUAAGUUUCUCGUGAAAGCUCCUGGCUCAACUGGGAGAGGUCAAGGAAUACUAUUCGACUAGAGUGUGGUAGGGGUAACUGGAAUUCCCGGUGUAGCGGUGAAAUGCGUAGAUAUCGGGAGGAAUACCUAUGGCGAAGGCAGGUUACUGGGCCAUCACUGACGCUGAGCUGCGAAAGCUAGGGGAGCAAACAGG
rnacentral:rRNA from 1 species